rnacentral:misc_RNA from 1 species
GCUACAGGAUCAGAUGAUACUUUUCCCUCGGUUAGAAAAGCCUGAGCAGAAGCCUUCAAAUCUCUCUUCACUAGAUAAUCAUGGAUAUACACAUCUAACAUUUUAUCAGCUUCCCAGUUGGUUUGAGACAUAUUGUCGAAUCAAGAAGCUCCCACAGAAAGUUUAUAAUAAUGUCAGAACUAGCUUGUAGAAAGCUCUCGUCACCUCUAAAAUUGCAACCCAGAAAUGAAACAGGUGCAAACCCAAAAACGUUCAUCUGUUUGAGAAAUUCUAAUGUUUUUUCUUUUUCUUUCUUUUUUUCAAGAAUCUUUUAGACGAAUUUUA